CCUAAAUUUAGUUUUCCUUGACCGCAUCAGAUAGAAAGUAGGAGGGCUUGUUUUAAGUGGGAUUUGAUCUUAAAGAGCUAGAAUAUGAAGAGCAGGUGGUUGGAAAUCUGUUGAGUAAAGAAAUCGGGAUUGGGAGAGAAGUUUGUAUAAUUAAUUUGUUGAUCAAGGCUAGGAAAGUAUGGGAAUUCAGGGUUUGUAAUGAUGUAGCUUCAGGGAACAAUUUCAGCUUGCAAAUGCAAUAUAGCUACAAAAAGAA
rnacentral:misc_RNA from 1 species